rnacentral:tRNA from 1 species
UUAAUUGAAACCAAAUAGAGGUAUAUCACUGUUAAUGAUAAAAUUGAGUCAAGUCCUCCAAUUAAA